rnacentral:rRNA from 1 species
AUAUUAGUCAAUGCUCGCAAGAGUGAACGAGCUAACUGAAAGAAUAUACAAUCUAAAGUUAGGAAUCUUAUAAAUUUUUUUAUAAGUUUAAAGACGAAUCUAACUAACAGUGUCGUCCAAAUUCUGGUGCCAGAAGACUCGGUAAUACCAGAGACGCGAACGUUAAUCAUCUUGAAUGGGCAUAAAGGGUUUGUAGGCGGCUUAUUUAAUAAUAGGCUAGAAUCUUAGAGAGGUUAAUAAAAUACUUAGAGGAGGGCUGAUAUCCAUAGAUCCUAAGUGGAAUCCUAAUUGCGAAGGCCAUUUUCCACUACAGAUUGACGCUGAGAAACGAAGGUUAGGAUAGGAACUAGGAUUAGAGACCCUAUUACCCCUAACUGUAAACGAUGAAUGGAAGAUAUUUACAAUUGUAAGUGUCGAAGUGAAUACGAUAACCAUUCCGCCUUGCCAGUAUACUUGCAAAAGUGAAAACAAAAAAAUUAGUCGGUCCUAAAGCAAACGAAGUGAAGCAUGUUAUUUA